rnacentral:piRNA from 1 species
UGACAAAAGCAAGACCAGCC